rnacentral:rRNA from 1 species
UACGAAGGGGGCUAGCGUUGCUCGGAAUCACUGGGCGUAAAGGGUGCGUAGGCGGGUCUUUAAGGCAGGGGUGAAAUCCUGGAGCUCAACUCCAGAACUGCCUUUGAUACUGAAGAUCUUGAGUUCGGGAGAGGUGAGUGGAACUGCGAGUGUAGAGGUGAAAUGCGUAGAUAUUGGGAGGAACACCAGUGGCGAAGGCGGCUCACUGGACCGGUUCUGACGCUGAAGCGCGAAAGCGUGGGGAGCAAACGGG